UAUGAAUCGAAAUUAAGUAAUUGUUAAAUUUAACCUUAUGCUCUAGAAUAAUUUCGAUCUUGUCUGUUUUUAUCCGUAAUGUGUUCGUUUAUAUUUCUUAAAUGAGUCUUUCCGUUUCAGAAUGUUCACGAUUAUGCAUAUGGCGCAGGCUGUCUAGGAAGUAAAUAUUUACGAUGGUAAUAAAAUUUUAUAAUGUUGCAUAAUUAUUUAUUAACGUGAAUAAGAAAUAUUAUUUUACAAUAUGACUUAAUAAGUAAUUUUUCAGCUUUAAAAAAAAGUAGGUUUUAAUGGCAUUCAAUUUCAGUCAAUAAACGUAAAAUAAAAUUGAUUUAGUGGAAAGAGUGGGCCAAACUCAACGAAACCACGCUUUGAAUUAGCGAAUGGAAGGCUCAUUAGCAGAGGAGAUACUCAGUCACGAAGCACCUAUGGGGGAUGUUUUCACCUAGUUCUGCACGUGACAUGGACCAUGGCAAGUGUAGACAUUGCUGCCAGCGUAAUGAUCGGUUAGGUUCGUCAUAAACUGGCAGGGAUGUUUGUCUGAACAGUCGGUUCUGUGUCGACGUCAAGCCUGUUGCCACACAUGUAAUCAUUUUAAAUUACCUCGGAAAAGCUAUCCUGCGAGACACUCGGAUAUUUCUCACUUUCAAUGACGGGUUACGUGUCCACAUUCGCUCGUAAUGACUAAGAAAUUGUCGGAAUUUCACAGGCAUCCUCCGAAUGACAAAGCAAUGAAGGGUUCUGAUACCACCGACCCAACAAACAUUUUGUGGUUGUUUCUGCUAUCUAAUUUGUGCUUCUUUUGCCGGCUCGUAAAAUAUGGAUAAGAAAUCCGACUUUAAAUAUUAAAUUUAUGAAAAUAAACAUUCAAAAAUAUAAGAGCGCAUUUCCUAGUGAAACGGCUAUUUUUGAAUGCUAUAAAAAAAUUUUAUAGUAGUCGCCUAAUAUAACUUUCCCUCCUAAUAUUUGAAAAUUGUUAAAUACAUUUUCGUGUUGAUUCGAUUCUAAUCUUGUAGAAAUAAUUGACUCCAGUAUUAAAUAUCCCACAGGAAUUAUAUAAAAGGACCUAUCAGCGGUAUAUGCUGGAGCGACUAUUUUUUCUGUAACGCGAAACCACUCCUAAUGAUAUCGUGUUUGGUGGGUGUUUUCGAUAAAUUGAACUCCCGCUGAAUGUUAUUUAAUUCAAACAGUUUAAGAACGGUCAGAUAAAAAUUAAAAGAUAUUUAGUCAUUCGUGUAUUAUAAUUUUGACAAUUUAGAAGAAUAAUCGUGGUAUAACCAAAAGAAUUCAAGG